rnacentral:rRNA from 1 species
GAACGCUGGCGGCAGGCCUAACACAUGCAAGUCGAGCGGUAACAGAUCCAGCUUGCUGGAUGCUGACGAGCGGCGGACGGGUGAGUAAUGCAUAGGAAUCUGCCCGAUAGUGGGGGAUAACCUGGGGAAACCCAGGCUAAUACCGCAUACGUCCUACGGGAGAAAGGGGGCUUCGGCUCCCGCUAUCGGAUGAGCCUAUGUCGGAUUAGCUAGUUGGUGAGGUAAAGGCUCACCAAGGCAACGAUCCGUAGCUGGUCUGAGAGGAUGAUCAGCCACAUCGGGACUGAGACACGGCCCGAACUCCUACGGGAGGCAGCAGUGGGGAAUAUUGGACAAUGGGGGCAACCCUGAUCCAGCCAUGCCGCGUGUGUGAAGAAGGCCCUCGGGUUGUAAAGCACUUUCAGCGAGGAAGAACGCCUAGCGGUUAAUACCCGCUAGGAAAGACAUCACUCGCAGAAGAAGCACCGGCUAACUCCGUGCCAGCAGCCGCGGUAAUACGGAGGGUGCAAGCGUUAAUCGGAAUUACUGGGCGUAAAGCGCGCGUAGGUGGCUUGAUAAGCCGGUUGUGAAAGCCCCGGGCUCAACCUGGGAACGGCAUCCGGAACUGUCAAGCUAGAGUGCAGGAGAGGAAGGUAGAAUUCCCGGUGUAGCGGUGAAAUGCGUAGAGAUCGGGAGGAAUACCAGUGGCGAAGGCGGCCUUCUGGACUGACACUGACACUGAGGUGCGAAAGCGUGGGUAGCAAACAGGAUUAGAUACCCUGGUAGUCCACGCCGUAAACGAUGUCGACCAGCCGUUGGGUGCCUAGCGCACUUUGUGGCGAAGUUAACGCGAUAAGUCGACCGCCUGGGGAGUACGGCCGCAAGGUUAAAACUCAAAUGAAUUGACGGGGGCCCGCACAAGCGGUGGAGCAUGUGGUUUAAUUCGAUGCAACGCGAAGAACCUUACCUACUCUUGACAUCCUGCGAAUUCGGUAGAGAUACCUUAGUGCCUUCGGGAACGCAGAGACAGGUGCUGCAUGGCUGUCGUCAGCUCGUGUUGUGAAAUGUUGGGUUAAGUCCCGUAACGAGCGCAACCCUUGUCCUUAUUUGCCAGCGCGUAAUGGCGGGAAACUCUAGGAGACUGCCGGUGANCAACCNGAGAANNGUGGGACGACGUNCAGUCAUCAUGGCCCUUACGAGUANGGCUACACACGUGCUACA